UCGUAUAAUAUUUCACAGUGACCAUCAAUUUCACCAUUUUCACUAAUUUUAAAAGGUAGAUAAUAGAUUUGCAUUAUAUAUAUAAUAGAUUAAAAAAACAAAAAUAAAUGUUUUUUUUAAAUAAUUUUUUUUUAAAAUAAGUUUUUAUUUUUCUAAAUAACAUUUUUUGAAAAUAAGUUUUUAUUUUAUUUUAAAAACCUUUUUCUGGAUAAGUUUUUAUUUUACUUUAUUUUUUUAAGGAACAUUUUUUUAAAUUAAAAUUUUAUUUUAUUUUAUUUCUCUUAGUAACCUUUUUUUUAACGUAAGUUUUUAUUUUUAUUUUUUAAGUAACAUUUAUUUUUAAUUUAUUAUUAUUCUUUUUUUUUUUAUUGUAAAGUAACGUGUUUUUAAAAUAAGCUUUUAUUUUAUGUCAUUUUUGAAAAUAAGUUUUUAUUUUAUUUUUUUAAGUAACAUUUUUUUAAAAUAAGUUUUUACUUUUUUUUUAAGUAAUUUUUUAAAAUAAGGUUUUGUUUUAUUUCAUUUUUAAAAUAAGUUUUUAUUUUAUUUUUUUAAAAUUUAUUUAUAUAUAAGAAGGCAAAGUUACCGUUUUAUCCAUCUUAAAAUUAGUAAAAAGGUUGAAUGAUCGUAAUGAAAUAUUAUAUGAAAUUGAGUGAUCAUAGUGACACUAAAUGUGAAGUCAAGCAGCAAUGAUGAAAAUUAAGUUGGACGGCCACAAUGAAAUAUAAAAUGGAUUAUGGUGGUCGUACGCCAUGGUGUACAGCCCCCUCACAUAUGAGAGGGCCCACCAUUAUUAAAAAAAUUAGUGGACCUCAUCAGAGAACUAUACACCAUGCUGUAUAACAAGCAUCGUUGAUAUAAAAUUGGGGGAACAUUAGCGGAUGUAACCACGAAUGGCUGUUAAUAUUUUGCUGUAAAAAAUCGGGGCAAAAUCAUCGGCCAUACAGUGAUACAGAGAGGGGAAACCGCCCUUAAAGAAUUCCCAAUCUCUCCAUAAACCUCAUUCUUACCUUCCAAGCUGCUAACCCUAGUAGCUCAAUGUUCCAAAUAUGCCCCUUACUUGACUGCAAUUGAGAUCUUUGGGAUUCAAGGGACUGAGGGAGGCAAUUCUGUAAAUAAUGCAAAAAAAAAAAAAAUAAUUGUUUUAUGAAAUAUUCAUCUAAAUAUAGGUGUAAAAAUUUCUUAUUAUUUAACAAAACAAUGCUUCAAAAUCAAAAUUUCCAAACUAGGGGAAAAAUUGAAAAUUAGGCUCAGAUCUGAAAUCUUGAUCGACAAAGAGAAUCAACCAUGCCAUGGCUGCAAAAUCACCGGUUGCUCUUGAGACAGAAAAAUCUAAAAUCAAGUACAAUCCGGGUCGCCACGCCAAGAUACGGGUCGAAUUGUCUCGAUGCCUAAUUGAUGAGCUCGGAAGAAUGAGAUGCAUCAUCACAGCCUUAAGAAAUGGUGAUGGAAAAAGUGAGUAAUAGUAGAUGAAAAUGCAUAAUUUCUCGGCAAACCCAGAAGGAUGUAUAGUAAAAUCAAUGGAAUGUUUCACAAUCAUAUAUGCUGCUGCUUCCUCUGCAAUUUUCCAAGGGCUGUUGAUUUUUUGUUGCUAGUAAUGGGAAAAAAUCAUCGGCUUUGGAGAGAGGCAACCACCCUUGAAAUCCCAAUCUCUCCAUAAUCCUCAUUCUUCCCUUCCAAGCUGGUAGCCCCAGAUUGACCUUUGGCUCGUCAUUUAUAGUUCCCCUACUGUUCCUACUUUACCCCUAGAUAAGGGCCAUUUCAC
rnacentral:lncRNA from 1 species